ensembl:lncRNA
CAACUGGGGCACAUUCAGGAGGCUUGCGCUGGCCAAACUGGUGGUCCUUAUAUAUUGCUUAACUUUCUUUGGUCAGAGUAGGAUGCCAGAUCCUGGGCGAAGCAAGAAUUGUCCAGACCCAACACACCCAAGGACCUCAAACAUUAGUGUUCAUAAAAUCCUCUAGGGAAUCCUGAUGCCAGGGCUCUUAUUUGACCCUACGGAGAUGAGAAGAGAAUCCUGGUGAUGCCUGAGGCUGAAUUUCCCACUGGACAGGUAGAGGCAGAAGAAGGUUUCACAUGUGAACAAAGAAGGUCGGGGGCCACGUCAACAAACAAAGGAUGCUGAGGCCGUCAAGCCAUCAAGCCAGCAGCCACCGCAGCCUGCCCUGACUGUGUACCCUGAGAGGAUUCAGAUUGGAGAAAAGCAGGAUACUGGCUCCAGAGAUCAGUCUCCAGGAAGUGAGAUUCCAAGAAGCUCAGAGGCAAGCCUGUUCCAGGACCAUACUUUCUGCCUCUGCACUGACAGAUGAUUCCCUGAAACAGCCACAAGAGUACAAGCUUGGUGGAGUGGAGUAGGGCAGAGCCUUGGCAAAUGUCUCAUAUACUCCAGGCGCUGUGCCAAAGGCUUCAUCUCAUCCAACCUUCCAGAGGCCCUGUGAGGUAGGGACUACAUCCCAUUUGCGUCGGCCCACUUGUGCCCAUUUAGAUGAGGAAACUGAGGGUUACAGAUAUUGCAGUGUGCUCAGGUUUGCCAACUAGAAAACUGCAAUAAAAAUUCUGACAUGACUUUCUCUGUCAAUUUUCUGUUCUUUGCUAUUCUGGUGGAAAUUUAAGAUGCUGAACUCUCAACUUUGUUUCAUGAAAAACUAAACGUGCAAGACUGCUGGAUUGUUACAAUGUCAAUUUCCUGCUCAGAUGCUACACAGUAGAUUUGCAAGAUGCUGCCAUUAGGAAAAACUGGGUGAAGGGUAUGUGGACUCUUUCUGUAUCGUUUCUUACAACAACAUACUAA